rnacentral:rRNA from 1 species
UACGUAGGGGGCAAGCGUUGUCCGGAAUCAUUGGGCGUAAAGAGCGUGUAGGCGGCCUGGUAAGUCCGCUGUGAAAGUCCAGGGCUCAACCCUGGAAUGCCGGUGGAAACUGUCAGGCUCGAGUCCGGAAGAGGCGAGUGGAAUUCCUGGUGUAGCGGUGGAAUGCGCAGAUAUCAGGAAGAACACCAACGGCGAAGGCAGCUCGCUGGGACGGAACUGACGCUAAGGCGCGAAAGCGUGGGGAGCAAACAGG